CUGGAUUCAAGCGGACCGUGGACACAAAUAAAGAUGUUUUAAUGCUGAAUUGAAACACAUUUAUGUUGCUUCAGAGGCUGUAUGCAUCGUUGAUAAUGUGUCCUCAAUGCAAGUUUAUCAAUCAUUAAGCGAUGGAGACAGCAGCUCUGGCGGCUCCAGUCACAGCUGCGGAGUUCCUCCAGGAUGCAUGUCUGCUGACAGGUGAGGGUCCAGUCUUGAUGGUGUACAGUAUCAAACCUCGCCCUAAAGCCUGUGCCUCCCUGAGUGUGCUCCAAAACCACAGAAUCCACGGGAUAAGACCCAGAAGUCUGACGGCUGCCGCAGCAGAGAGCUCUGCCACGGGAACAUUUGGG